rnacentral:rRNA from 1 species
ACGAACGCUGGCGGCGCGCUUAACACAUGCAAGUCGAACGGAAAGGCCUGCUUUCCCUUGUGGAUUGCGGGUACUCGAGUGGCGAACGGGUGAGUAACACGUGAGUGAUCUGCCCCCAACUUGGGUAUAAGCCUGGGAAACUGGGUCUAAUUCCCGAUAGGACUGCAGGGUGGUGCCUGUGGUGGAAAACGAUUUUCUAGUGGUUGGGGAUGAGCUCGCGGCCUAUCAGCUUGUUGGUGGGGUAAUGGCCUACCAAGGCGGCGGCGGGUAGCCGGCCUGAGAGGGUGGACGGCCACAUUGGGACUGAGAUACGGCCCAGACUCCUACGGGAGGCAGCAGUGGGGAAUAUUGCACAAUGGGCGGAAGCCUGAUGCAGCGACGCCGCGUGGGGGAUGACGGCCUUCGGGUUGUAAACUCCUUUCGACCGCGAGGAAGCCACCUGGUUGGAAGGGUGGUGACGGUAGUGGUAGAAGAAGCACCGGCUAACUACGUG